rnacentral:rRNA from 1 species
CCGCGUGGAUGGAGGCAUGCAAGUCGCACGGUAUGUGGGCAACUGCAUAUAGUGGCGUAAGGGUUAGUAAUACAUAGAUAAUCUGCCUUUUACCUGGGAAUAACGGCUGGAAACGGCCGCUAAUACCGAAUGAGGUUUAUAUGGGGCAUCUCAGAUAAAUCAAAGCGGGGGAUCGAAAGACCUUGUGGUGGAAGAAGAGUCUAUGGGAUAUCAGCUAGUUGGUGAGGUAAAGGCUCACCAAGGCUAAGACGUCUAGGCGGAUUGAGAGAUUGACCGCCAACACCUGGGACUGAAUGU